GAUGAACGCUGGCGGCGUGCUUAAUACAUGCAAGUCGAGCGAACAGACGAGGAGCUUGCUCCUCUGACGUUAGCGGCGGACGGGUGAGUAACACGUGGAUAACCUACCUAUAAGACUGGGAUAACUUCGGGAAACCGGAGCUAAUACCGGAUAACAUGUUGAACCGCAUGGUUCAACAGUGAAAGACGGUCUUGCUGUCACUUAUAGAUGGAUCCGCGCCGCAUUAGCUAGUUGGUAAGGUAACGGCUUACCAAGGCAACGAUGCGUAGCCGACCUGAGAGGGUGAUCGGCCACACUGGAACUGAGACACGGUCCAGACUCCUACGGGAGGCAGCAGUAGGGAAUCUUCCGCAAUGGGCGAAAUCCUGACGGAGCAACGCCGCGUGAGUGAAGAAGGUCUUCGGAUCGUAAAACUCUGUUAUUAGGGAAGAACAAAUGUGUAAGUAACUAUGCACGUCUUGACGGUACCUAAUCAGAAAGCCACGGCUAACUACGUG
rnacentral:rRNA from 1 species